AGAACCCAUGCGGAUAUAGUUUUCAUAUAAUUCAUUCCCUUGAUCAAAAUGAUCAUAGGAUACCCCAGAGUUCAACUGUUAACUCUGAUCAGGUUGUCCACAUUGUAUUUUAAAAUAUCAAAUCCAUCUGAUGGAUUACCCUGGCCAAGGUUUUGCUAAAUUGAAAUACAGCGACUCAUUCUUCUCUAACUCUUGGAGUGGUCAAUCCCAUCUCGAUCACACUCUGACUUCGCAAGUACUUGACUGUGCCCAUAAGCCUUCCGUCCCUGAAUUAAAAAUUCAGUUAGUCCAGUACCA
rnacentral:lncRNA from 1 species